GUAAGAAAUAAACUCAUAUUGAUUAUAUAACGCACUUAACUAAAACACACAUAAUUUCAAAUUUGCAUUUAACUAUCACACAAAAUACAAUUCAAAAGAUAAAAAAUGUGGAAAAGGAACUCAACAAAAUUUGGAACGAAGAUCAGAGAAAAAUCGACCCAGACGUUGGAAUAUCAAACGGAAUUCCUGCCCUACGAUAAGAAAUGGGAAUUCCCUAGUAAACGGCUCAGACUCGGUCAAGAACUGGGAUCCGGUUGUUUCGGUCAAGUUGUUAAAGCAGACGCAGUGGGCAUCAAAGACUCGGAUGAAACUGUGACAACAGUGGCCGUCAAAAUGAUCAAACCGACUGCCAAUUGCCAAAUCUCCUAACGCACUGGACGCUCUCAUAAGGGAAUUAAAAAUUAUGAUUUAUUUGGGACCGCACUUAAAUGUCGUCAAUUUAAUGGGGGCCUGCACCAACACUAUGAUCAAAG